rnacentral:ncRNA from 1 species
GUGUUGUAUGAAAGGAGAGAAGGCUACCACUCCCUUUGAUGAGGGCUGAAGAGGUCCUAGUGACCUGUACAACACACAUACCAUUGCCACCUACUUCAUAGCAUCUCACCAUGGUUUUGG